UACAGAGGUCCCAAGCGUUGUUCGGAUUCACUGGGCGUAAAGGGUGCGUAGGUGGUGAGAUAAGUCGGGUGUGAAAUCUCCGGGCUUAACCCGGAGGGUGCGCUCGAAACUGUCUCGCUAGAGGGUGGGAGGGGAGACUGGAAUUCUCGGUGUAGCAGUGAAAUGCGUAGAUAUCGAGAGGAACACCGGUGGCGAAGGCGAGUCUCUGGACCACUCCUGACACUGAGGCACGAAAGCCGGGGGAGCAAACAGG
rnacentral:rRNA from 1 species